AUGCCUUUUGGGUUAACUAAUGCACCUAGUACUUUCAUGAGAUUAAUAAACGAAGUUUUACGUGCUUUCAUUGGACGAUUUGUGGUAGUUUACUUUGAUGACAUAUUGAUUUAUAGCAAAUCUUUGGAGGAACAUUUGGAACAUUUACGUGCUGUUUUUAUUGCUCUACGUGAUGCACGUUUGUUUGGUAACCUUGGGAAGUGCACCUUUUGCACCGACCGAGUGUCUUUUCUUGGCUAUGUUGUUACUCCACAGGGAAUUGAAGUUGAUAAAGCCAAGAUUGAAGCUAUUGAGAGUUGGCCGCAGCCCAAAAGGGUCACACAAGUGCGGAGUUUUCUAGGCCUCGUA
rnacentral:rRNA from 1 species